CAAAAAUAUGUACCAAUAGGCACGUAUUGCUACAGUUUUGAAAAACAAACGUCCACUGGGGUCGCUAAAGAGAAGAACUCCAUGUGACAUUACAUUAGGAGUUGCAUUUCAUUACAUCGCGAGAUUUAACAACGCAUUGGUGUGCCACUCUGGGUGGCUCUGGCACACUCGUGGCUACGCCCCGCCGUGACCCAAAUCUCAUUCGCACAUCAUCGCGAAAUUUAUCAUCAAUUUACAAAUGUCAUCACAUCUCGAUCAAGUACAGUACCAGAUGGCUUGAUGGGUUUGGGCUCACAGAUGGGUAAGGAAUGGAAAGGCUGUGGUCUUUCCUCCAAAGAUUUUCCAGAGUCACAAAGGAGAUGACUCCAUCUCAUCGCCUUGACCUACUGACUGAUGCCCUUUUGCAUUAUGGACGGAGGAAAUCAACUGACCUAGAGGUGCAGCUCCUGCAAAGAGUAGACAAAGCAGAGAAAAUAUUGAUUCUCGCUCCUCAAGAAGAUAUUUCAUCUGUCAUCAGAUAGCUACCAGGUAAACAAUGCACAUAAGAAGCAGGUAACAAUUAGUUGUAGAUGGGAGAAUAUUACAUUCCAUUUAUAAGUGCAAUUUGCACAAGAGUAUUUAGGAUUGAUGUGUGUCUUGUUUUCUGUUAUUGUUGUUGUAUAGUGUUGAUUUCUGAAGGAGACAUGGAGAGAUGGAAAAAAGCUAGCCCAACAGAAACCAAUAAGUAAGGAACUGAAGUUAAAGUCUUAAAUACUAGACUCUGUCUGUAGAUGGAAAAGUGACUACAUCAUCAGACUGAUUCAGUUCUACAAGUUCAAAUAUUAGAAUUGAGGACUCUGCUGAACAUUGAGAAAAAAUACCGUAUUGGGAGAAGAUGGCAAGAGUCUGAUUCAAACUUCCAGUCUACCCUUAAAGAUGUGGACCGUGAGCUCAGAGUCCAACUUCAAGGCUAGAACUGAAUCAAGGGAGAGAGAGCAGUCCUCCUCCACCUGAGAAGAAUAUAUCCAUCUUUGCUUCAGAUGGGCAGGGCAUUGCCAUUAGACUCUCCAAGCAGGUAGCCAGCUCCAGCAAUAGACUGAGACAGGCAAUAAAAGAAUACAACAGCAUUCAAUGGUCACCGCAGAUGAGCUUCUUACCUGCGACAAUUGAUUUUCAGGAAUCAUGUGAUCCCUCUUGGCAUGUCUACUUCUGCUUUGAUGACACUAUUGAAGAAGAUGAUGUUUCGAGGAGGCGAGGGAUUGAUGCCUUACAUAUGAAGACUCAUUCAACGCUUCCAACAGCUGGAAAGAAAACUACAUCAAGCCAUUGUGAUGUUUCACCCACAUGUAUCAGACUUUGUUCCUGCAGACAACCCCCACUUGUGUCAGGCCCUCCCCAUGCCAAGCAUACAGACACUGGUAUACAAUGAUAAGAGUGAUAAUGACAAUGUGGAUAAAUAUGAUAACUACGGAGAUCAUUGUGUUUGGCUCGCCCGAUGUUCUGGAAAAUUCUUUUGGAAAUUCUGGUAUUUUAUCUUCUUCGGUCAAAUCAAGUGUAAAAAACUUAGGUGUAUUUUUCGAUAGUGCACUAAAAUUUGAUAGGCAAAUAAAUGCAGUUGUAAAAGCGAGUUUUUACCAAUUAAGAAUGCUGGCUAAAGUGAAGACCUUUCUUUCUUUUAAACACUUAGAAAUUGCAACCCACGCUUUUAUUUCGUCCAGAAUUGAUUAUUGUAAUGCGCUGUAUGUGGGAAUAAAUAGCGAGAUUACAAAUGGUUCAAAAUUCCGCUGCGCGGCUGUUAACCGGCGUUCGUAAAUACGAACAUAUUUCUCCUGUGCUAAUGUCUUUACAUUGGCUUCGGGUACAGUGUAGAAUUGAUUUUAAAGUGCUUUUGCACGUUUUUAAAUCGUUAAAUGGACUCGCUCCCCUCUACCUCUCGGAUUUGUUGGGUGAAUAUCGUCCAGAAAGAACUCUUCGGUCUGCCAACCAGAAUCUGUUAACUGUUCCAAAGUCCAAAUUAAAAUCUAGGGGUGACCGAGCUUUUGCCAUAGCCGCACCUAAACUUUGGAACACUUUACCGCUUCAUAUAAGAAUAUCCCCAACAUUACAUAUUUUUAAAUCUAAGUUAAAAACAUACUUUUUUACUAAGGCCUAUGACUCGUGAUGAUACUUGUUGUCUGAUGUUGAUGUGGUUUGUAUAUUUGUGUUUUUUUUAAUUAGUCAUUAUCUCAUUGUACAGCACAUUGGUCAAGUGGAGUUGUUUUUAAUCGUGCUUUAUAAAUAAAUUGAGACUUGAGACUUGAACUAGCACUACAGAUAUUUUUUUUAAUUUCUAGUCUGAUAUUGUAUUCUGUAAAAAGAAUGAUGUAAAUGUAUAGUAUAUGUUGCAGCAUAUCAUAGAAACCUUUAUGGUGGUGUAAUAUAAUGCUCGCCUUACUUGUGCAAACAUGAUGUUUUACUAGGUCUGAUUUAUUUUAAAGCGUAGGUACUGUUUUUAAGCACACAUAAUCACACUAGUCUGUGUGAGGACAAAAUUGUGUGUUUACCAUUGUGAUGUUACUUAUUUACUGUAAUGUACAAAUGUGUGUAAGGUGUUUUGUUUUUGUGUGCUAAGUUGAAAUGACAAAGUAUUGAAUCUUGAAUCCUUUGAAACAAAUACUGUAAAAGUUUGUAAAAAAUAAAAUGUUUUCCACAAUGA